GGAGAGAAGAGCCAAGAGCCCCAUUCAGGAAGUCUGCCCAUGGCCACCUACUGCCACCCCGGUAACAGUGCCCACGGGCCAAACCAGAGGCACCCCCGUCUCAAGAAUGCGAGCCAACAGGUGGAGGGACUGCACGCGCCCGGACCACGCUCUGCCUCCGUUUCCUCUUCCACAAAAUGAGGAAACAGUUUCACAGAGAUGAUGUCACCUCCUUAAAAUCACAUUACAGGUGACUGCUCAUCACAUAGAGAAGCUCUGCCACUUCCUGCCCCACCCCUGUGGAUCUUCUCCGCACCUGCCCUAGUGCCGCUCCAUCCCUCCGGGCUCCUCAUUCCAGAGCCAACCCAGGUACCCUGACUCAGCAAAGUAACAAUGAACAUCCUCCUCCUCCAGGAAGCCUUCCAGGAUUGGACUGCCUUAAGGAACUUCUUCCCACUGUCUUUCUCCAAGGUGUGGCUGGAGCUAAGAGGGAGCCUGGAGAGAGAAGACUUGUCCAAACACCCCUGUUUUAAAUAUGGGUGGGUUAAAUCCAGGAUGCUCAGUUAAAUCUGAAUUUUAGAUAAACAGUAUGAAUAAUAUUUUAGUGUAAGAAUGCCCCAAAUAUUCAUGGGACAUACUUAGACUUAAAAAAUAUUUAUUUUUAUCUUGGAGUUCCUGUCAUAGCACAGCAGAAAUGAAUCCGACU